rnacentral:RNase_P_RNA from 1 species
GCAGCCUACUAAGCGAUCGCUUGGCAGUGAAGCCAAGAGGAAAGUCCGGGCAGUAAAGGACACCGACAGUCGCUAACGGCGACCGGGGGUAACCCUAGGGAAAGUGCCACAGAAACAAAACUACCUUUGUGGCGAUAGACACAAAGGAAAAGGUGAAACGAGUAAGGUAAGAGCUUACAGUCCUCGGUGGUGACACAGAGGAGAGGUAAACCCUGUCGACUGCAAGGAGGCCUACAAAUGAGUUGUCCGCUCGUAGGCCGAUAACCGCUUGAUUUAUCUGGCAACAGGUAAACUAGAUAGAUGAUCGCUCGCGACAGAACCCGGCUUAUCGGUAGGCUGUAAAC